GACGAACGCUGGCGGCGUGCUUAACACAUGCAAGUCGAACGAGGCAUGGAAAGCUUGCUUUCUAUAGCCGAGUGGCGAACGGGUGAGUAACACGUGACCAACCUGUCUUUAGGUAAGGGACAACCUGGGGAAACCCGGGCUAAUACCGCAUAACGUCUUUCCUUCACAUGAGGGAGAGACCAAAGGGGGCCUCUGCUUGCAAGCUCUCGCCUAAAGAGGGGGUCGCGUCGUAUCAGCUUGUUGGUGAGGUAACGGCUCACCAAGGCUAUGACGCGUAGCGGGUCUGAGAGGACGAUCCGCCACAUUGGGACUGAGAUACGGCCCAGACUCCUACGGGAGGCAGCAGUGGGGAAUAUUGCGCAAUGGUCGAAAGACUGACGCAGCGACGCCGCGUGUGGGAGGAAGCCUUUCGGGGUGUAAACCACUGUCAGGGGGGAAGAAUGGCGAGUGCUCAAAUACAGCACUCGAU
rnacentral:rRNA from 1 species